GACGGAGGAUGCAAGUGUUAUCCGGAAUCACUGGGCGUAAAGCGUCUGUAGGUGGUUUAAAAAGUCUACUGUUAAAAAUUGAAGCUUAACUUACAAAGAUGCCGUAGAAACUUUUAAACUUGAGGAUGGUAGGGGUAGAGGGAAUUUCCAGUGGAGCGGUGAAAUGCGUAGAUCUUGGAAAGACCACCAAUGGCGAAGGCACUCUACUGGGCCAUGACUGACACUAAGAGACGAAAGCUAGGGGAGCAAAUGGG
rnacentral:rRNA from 1 species